UUCAGAAUCCUAAAGCCUCCAAGCUGGAAAGCUGAGGAGCCAUGGCUCAGCCCAAUGCCAGCCUGUUAGAGGGAAAACUGAGGCCAGGACAGAGGAAAGGACAUGAUCCGGGUCCUAUGCCAAGGCGGGAACUGUGCAGACACAGAACUCAGGCAUCCAAGGUUCAGGAGCCCUAGACCCAGGUUCGAGGAAGCUCUGGGUCACAACCUCCAGGUCCCCACUGCAGGCUCAGCUGGAGGGUACUCCCGGGGGCUCAGCUACCCCAGCCCCCUGCCUGGGCCGGGCGGGAGGAUGGACAGAGCAAGGCGGGCCAUGUGUCGGGCCUAACUGCGGGCAGAUGGAGCCACAGGUGCACUGAGCUCCAGCUGCAAGGCAGAGGGGGAAAAAGCAUUGAGACUGGAGGCAAAAGAUCCUAGGUUUGAAUGCUAAGCUGUAUGACACUGCC
rnacentral:lncRNA from 1 species